rnacentral:lncRNA from 1 species
GGUUUCUCUGAAAGGAUCCCAGUCUGAACUGGAAGGCUCCUGCACAGGGCCCAACCCCACCUGACACGUGUCAAAUGGAAAUCAUCAGUUUUGCUGAGGACCCCUGACUCGGUGCUCAUGCCAGGACUAUUGCCCUGAUUUGAUAGCAGCUAUUGAAGGAAAUAAAAAGGACAGCUUUGGAGCAGUCUCGUCAGGCAGCAUGAUGACUCUUGGCAGCAGGAGAACCAUUUUGCCUUUCUGGAAACUGCUGGUCAGACCCAGGGUCUCAACAAACAAG